rnacentral:rRNA from 1 species
ACGGGAGGCAGCAGUGAGGAAUAUUGGUCAAUGGUCGAGAGACUGAACCAGCCAAGUAGCGUGAAGGAUGACUGCCCUAUGGGUUGUAAACUUCUUUUGUUCGGGAAUAAAGUGCCGCACGUGUGCGGUUUUGUAUGUACCGUUCGAAUAAGCAUCGGCUAAUUCCGUGCCAGCAGCCGCGGUAAUACGGAAGAUGCGAGCGUUAUCCGGAUUUAUUGGGUUUAAAGGGUGCGUAGGCGGACUGUUAAGUCAGCGGUGAAAUACCACGGCUCAACCGUGGGGCUGCCGUUGAUACUGGCGGUCUGGAGUACGAUCGGCGCCGGCGGAAUGUGUCAUGUAGCGGUGAAAUGCAUAGAUAUGACACAGAACACCGAUCGCGAAGGCAGCUGGCGAGAACGAUACUGACGCUGAGGCACGAAGGUGCGGGGAUCAAACAGGAUUAGAUACCCUGGUA